GACGAACGCUGGCGGCGUGCUUAACACAUGCAAGUCGAACGGAAAGGCCCUGCUUUUGUGGGGUGCUCGAGUGGCGUACGGGUGAGUAACACGUGAGUAACCUGCCCUUGACUUUGGGAUAACUUCAGGAAACUGGGGCUAAUACCGGAUAGGAGCUCCUGCUGCAUGGUCGGGGUUGGAAAGUUUCGGCGGUUGGGGAUGGACUCGCGGCUUAUCAGCUUGUUGGUGGGGUAGUGGCUUACCAAGGCUUUGACGGGUAGCCGGCCUGAGAGGGUGACCGGCCACAUUGGGACUGAGAUACGGCCCAGACUCCUACGGGAGGCAGCAGUGGGGAAUAUUGCACAAUGGGCGGAAGCCUGAUGCAGCAACGCCGCGUGCGGGAUGACGGCCUUCGGGUUGUAAACCGCUUUCGCCUGUGACGAAGCGUGAGUGACGGUAAUGGGUAAAGAAGCACCGGCUAACUACGUG
rnacentral:rRNA from 1 species